GGCCUGUGCAGCCGGAGAAAAAAAAUCAAUCGGAUCGAUUUUCCCGUGUUUUUUUUGUGCAGCCGUGCUCCCGUUUCCCCUGCACCAGAGCUUGGCCCUGAUGUGCGCCACUCCCCUACGGCCUACCCACCGCCUGCCCUCCCAAGCUGCCGUGCGCAUCCAUUUCCGACGCGCUGGGCGCCAUGCCUCUUUCCCUCUGCGUGCCGCUUAUGUGCGCUGCAAAUCGACUUGUGCCGCCGCGACCGAUGCUCUCCUAGCCACCAAUGCUUCAGAAACGGCCCCACGUCCAAGCAUUCAUCUAUUGCUCUGUAAAUGCGGCACAGAAACUGUUCGGGUGAACUGAGACGCCACCAUCUUCAUCCUUUAAACCCCUCUCCGUACCGCUGCUCAAGUUGCCCUCUCUGGCACCACCUUUGCUCUGGCAGAGUUUGCUUCGGUUCUCUGUGUUGCUUGCUGAAAUUUGGAGGUGGCUGUCAUCGGUACAAAGGGCCCAUGAUUUGAUUCGAUUUUGCACGACGGAAAGCUAGACUUGCUUGCAUCGGAAAUUUGGAGCCAAUUGAUUUCACUACUAUUGCUGCAGAAUUGGUCAGGCAAGAUGCCAUCCAUGUUUCUCAAAAUAUGAAAAUAGAUGCUGCAGAACAUGUGGCCGCCCUUGAUAAUGACGUUCGUGAAACCAAAUUAUUCCAUAUAGGAAUGAAGGUUGAUUCAACAUCCAGUUUCACAUAAGCUGUCAUAAUAAAGAGCUUCUCGGCUGACAAUGGACAAAUGCUGCCCUCCACAAAGUCAUCUGCAAGCAAGGAACUUAUUGCCAAUCCAUCUUCAGCCAUGAGUACCCAGAGGUUUAAAUGAAUCAUAACAUUGAAAUUAAAAGCUCUAUUUCAACAUCCAUAUCAAUUUUUUGUUACCCACAGUCCAAUUGUCGACGCACAAGAUGACUCCAGCAAUAAUGCGCCUCCCUGUCCCCAAUCUGCAGCUAUUGAUACAGACAAAAACAAACUCAUGUAAUUUUUUUUAAUUUUUUUUAAGACAAUUCUCUGUACAUACUAAUCUGUUCAGAGUUCACAUGAAUUAGAAAUAAUAUUUUUCUGCAAGCAAGUCUGCAGCAAAACGAAGCAUUCAGUUUACAGAACAUGAUCUGACGAACAAAGGAAGUGAAAAUGAAGUGGAGCUUACAGAUGGAACAAAGCAAAUUCAGGAUGUCAAACGGAAUAAGCAUGAGACAUAAUCGACCAUGCAGGAAGCAACAUCAGGAGUACCUAAAAUUAGUUAUAGUGUUGCUUGAGUCAAAAUUACAGGUCACCAUUGACCACCUCUAAUUGUAAUCAAUCAGACCUCUUAUUAAUAUUGUUUGAUGUCGGUCCAGUGCAUGUAUAUGCAUCUAUCGCAGUGAAUAAAACAUCUGCACUUUCUUCUCAGCUUUGCCGACUACUUCAAGUUCACUUAAGAUCUGUAUGCUGACCACUUCGGGCACAAGGCACAGCCACAUAAACCUAUGACAAUUCAAUGCUCAGAAACUCUUGUAAUAAAAACUUUUAGUAACAUUCAUUUAGGAGGUGCUGUAAUGUACCAUAAAAUGUUUUUUAAAAACGGUGUCAACCAUCUAUAUAUCAACAACACUGGUAUUACAUUCCUUCAAUAUCAAAGUAAAAAUACCACUUCCAUGCCACAGUCUUCACAAUCUCUGAAACAUGGAGCUGACACCAAGGGAAAACCAGCAUGCAAACGAGGAACAUAGAGUAUAUACUCUCACCUUCAACUCAUCCACAAAGAGAGGCUUGCAAGAUGUAUGAUGAGGCGAUCCAAGAACUCAAUGAUCCUAUGAAACAGCCGAUGCAUAUAACUUUGAAAGAAGGAGCCAAGACAGAGUUUCAUGUGCAGACAUCACAAGAAUUCUUACAUCUGAUCGGCAUUUCU